ACCUGAAUAAACCCUACAAGGCGUCUCUAAUCAAAACAAUACAAAAUCAAUCCAUAAUUUAUUAAAAUUAACUUUAGUACUAUAAAGGAAAUAAGGUAUUAGCUUAAAGUAGUGAUACCUCACGUACCUUGUGCAUUAUGGUUUUACAAGCUAAAAAUUAAUAAUCUCUUCCCGAAUUCUACGCGAGCUGUUCAUAUAUAGCUUAGAGCUCACUACUAAUUGUGACAUCAACUUUAGAAAAUAUAUGAACAGGGGCUACAUACCAAACGCGCUAGAACAUUGCUGGUUUUCAGCAAAAUUUAUAAAUUAAUACAUAUAGAAAUCUAUAGUGUAAGAUCUCAGAGGAUAAGCCCUGUGAUCUAAAGCCAGUAUCUUUAGUGAUUCCUCCAAUAGGCCUAAAAUCAGCCAUCCUUAGUACUUUACCGUAUUAUGUAAGUAAUAGCUAGGUCUAGCUGCUACAAAAAGCUGAAAUUUAGGAAAACCUUAUAAUCUUAAACUACUCUGUAAAAAUAAGUAUUAUUAAUUAUUCUAAUAAUUUAUGUUAAAUUUUCUUCUUCUAAUUUAUUCCCAAACACUUAUAAAGGAACUCGGCAAAUAUUAUUUCGACUGUUUAUCAAAAACAUUGCUUCUUGUAUUUACAUAAGAAGUACUCCUGCCCA
rnacentral:rRNA from 1 species